AAAAAGCCUCUUCCACUCCAAACAUAACAGCGCUACCUCAGCAAGACUGAUUUCUGCAUUUCUUCUGAAGGUUGAUGGUUUUUCUGCAGAUUAAAAUUUCCAGAUUUUUAGUCUUGAGUGUAAUUGUGGCUGAAUUGCACUUAAUUCAGGGGGAAGAAGUCAAAAAGAAAGCCAACUUUCAACUUUAGUCUAAAAACUAGCAAUGAACAUGGCAGGAAGUAACCACCACUCAUUUCACAUCUCUGUAUGUACCUCUGUGUAAUCUGCCAGAGUGUAAAGCACAUAUGACAUUUAAAAGAAAAAAAAAGU
rnacentral:lncRNA from 1 species